AGAGGAAGUAAAAGUCGUAACAAGGUCUCCGUUGGUGAACCAGCGGAGGGAUCAUUACCGAGUUUACAACUCCCAAACCCCUGUGAACAUACCUUAAUGUUGCCUCGGCGGAUCAGCCCGCUCCCCGUAAAACGGGACGGCCCGCCAGAGGACCCAAACUCUAAUGUUUCUUAUUGUAACUUCUGAGUAAAACAAACAAAUAAAUCAAAACUUUCAACAACGGAUCUCUUGGUUCUGGCAUCGAUGAAGAACGCAGCAAAAUGCGAUAAGUAAUGUGAAUUGCAGAAUUCAGUGAAUCAUCGAAUCUUUGAACGCACAUUGCGCCCGCUGGUAUUCCGGCGGGCAUGCCUGUUCGAGCGUCAUUUCAACCCUCAAGCCCCCGGGUUUGGUGUUGGGGAUCGGCUCUGCCUCACGGCGGUGCCGCCCCCGAAAUACAUUGGCGGUCUCGCUGCAGCCUCCAUUGCGUAGUAGCUAACACCUCGCAACUGGAACGCGGCGCGGCCAUGCCGUAAAACCCCAACUUCUGAAUGUUGACCUCGGAUCAGGUAGGAAUACCCGCUGAACUUAAGCAUAU
rnacentral:rRNA from 1 species